rnacentral:rRNA from 1 species
AUUGAACGCUGGCGGCAGGCCUAACACAUGCAAGUCGAGCGGAGCGGCGGACGGGUGAGUAAUGCCUAGGAAUCUGCCUGGUAGUGGGGGAUAACGUCCGGAAACGGGCGCUAAUACCGCAUACUAUCAGCUGAGCCUAGGUCGGAUUAGCUAGUUGGUGGGGUAAUGGCCUACCAAGGCGACGAUCCCUAGCUGGUCUGAGAGGAUGACCAUCCACACUGGAACUGAGACAAGGUUGAGAAUCCAACGGGAGGCAGCAGUGGGGAAUAUGGAAAAAGGGGCGCAAGCCUGGUUCAGCAAUGCCGCGGGUAGGAAGAAGGCCUUCUGGUUGUAAAGUACUGUCAGCGGGGAGGCGGUACCCGCAGAAGAAGCAACGGCUAACGCAGUGCCAGCCGCCGCGGUAAGUC